UGCUCCACUUGGAGAAUACCAGCUUAGCAAUGCUUUCGAUAGCCGUGCUGAUGCAUCUAGAGUCUUACAGGUGAUAUGAUCAAGAUGAUCUAGCUGGAAAUCAAACUCUCGUCAUUUCAGGACCACAGAAACAUGUUCAUCAAUUCAAAUGAUGUCUAGGAAGAUCAACACAGUGAGGAUUCUAGUGGGAUGGUGGAUUGGAUCUGAUCCAAGACCUCCUCCACCUUAUGUAGCAGGCUCUCUUGCAGC
rnacentral:lncRNA from 1 species